rnacentral:misc_RNA from 1 species
GGAAGGAUCAUUCACAAUUACAAGUGCUCCUCACGCUCCAACUCUUCGGGGAAGGAGACAAAGGAAAGCACUGUGGACGAAAAAUCCAUUCCCACCUUGUGUGCAUUGUAACAAACAACCAAUUUCACAAUUUUAAAUUUUUUUGCAAGACCGUCUGAAUGCAUCUCAUUAGCCAAUUUGCGAAAGCAGAAAGGAAAAAAAUGAAAUACAACUUUCAACAACGGAUCUCUUGGCUCUCGCAUCGAUGAAGAACGCAGCGAAACGCGAUAUGUAAUGUGAAUUGCAGAAUUCAGUGAAUCAUCGAAUCUUUGAACGCACAUUGCGCUCUUUGGUAUUCCGAAGAGCAUGCUUGUUUGAGUAUCAGAGAACCCAUCUCGAACACUUUCUAGUGUUUGAGGAUCUGAGUAAUCACCCGCAGAGACUAUUCUUUUCAGCUUGCUGGAAAGGGAGUUUUUAUCCCGGGGGAUGCUUGAAAGGAGGUUUUUGUUUUCCAUUCCUUCCUUGGGGUUCGUAUUCCUUUGGCCUGAAAGCAUAUUUAUUUAGUCCCGUCAAAAGGAUUAUUUCUCUUUGCUGAAAGGUGUUGAAGGAGAACUUUCGAGAGGGAGUGUGCCUCAAUUUACAGGGACUCUCACAAACUCGAUCUCAAAUCAAGUAAGACUACCCGCUGAACUUAAGCAUAUCAAUAAGCGGAGGAAAAGAAACUAACAAGGAUUCCCCUAGUAACGGCGAGUGAAGCGGGAUGAGCUCAAAUUUGAAAUCUGGCUGGUUUUACUGGUCCGAGUUGUAGUUUAUAGAGGUGUUUUCGGUGGCAGCCUGGGUAUAAAUCCUUUGGAAUAGGGUAUCAUGGAGGGUGAGAAUCCCGUCUUUGACCCAGGUUCAUGCUACUAUGUGAUACAUCUUCAAAGAGUCGAGUUGUUUGGGAAUGCAGCUCUAAAUGGGUGGUAAAUUUCAUCUAAAGCUAAAUACAGGCGAGAGACCGAUAGCGAACAAGUACCGUGAGGGAAAGAUGAAAAGAACUUUGAAAAGAGAGUUAAACAGUGCGUGAAAUUGUUGAAAGGGAAACGUUUGAAGCCAGCCGUGCGGGCGGAAAAUCAGCCUAGCUGUGGUGGGGAGCUAUUGGAGGUUCGGAGCGCAAGCCCGGCCUUUGGUGGCAUCUUUGUCACAAUGGGUGCACUUUUUCGUUUGCAGGCCAACAUCAGUUUGCUUCGCUGGAAAAGGCCUUGAGGGAAUGUGACAGCUUUGGCUGUGUUAUAGCCCUGAGGAGAUACAGUGGAGUGGACUGAGGAGUCGCAGCGUGUGCUUUCGGGCAAGGUAGACUGGGUGCUGUGGGAUGGGGCGAGGUACAAUGCAUGCAUUUUGCUUCGUCUUUUCUGUCCUGCACUCGCUCAUCUCUACUCUUCCACGCUUAGGAUGUUGGCAUAAUGGAUUUAAACGACCCGUCUUGAAACACGGACCAAGGAGUCUAACAUAUAUGCGAGUGUUUGGGUGGCAAACCCAUGCGCGAAAUGAAAGUGAACGUAGGUGCGAUCCGCAAGGUGCAGCAUCGACCGAUCUUGAAUUUUUAGGAUAGAUUUGAGUAAGAGCAUAUAUGCUGGGACCCGAAAGAUGGUGAACUAUGCCUGAAUAGGGUGAAGCCAGAGGAAACUCUGGUGGAGGCUCGUAGCGAUUCUGACGUGCAAAUCGAUCGUCAAAUUUGGGUAUAGGGGCGAAAGACUAAUCGAACCAUCUAGUAGCUGGUUCCUGC